ACCACUCUUAUGGUACUUUAGAAUGCCUCAAAUAGGACCUCUACUUUGGCUAAAUCUCUUUCUUAUAUUCACCCUUGGGUAUAUCUUAUUCUUUAUCAUUAAUUUCUUCUGUAAACUUCCAAUUAAAACAGAAACUUUCACCCACACAUCAACAAUUCUAGAAAAACCCUGAAAAUGAUAGCAAGACUGUUUUCCAUUUUUGAACCAUCCUCAUGUAUCCUUUCACUUAACCUAAACUGAGUCUCAACAUUCUUAGGGUUCCUAUUCGUUCCGAUUCUCUUCUGAACCUCCCCAUCCCGGUGACUUUAUCUGUGAUUUAAAAUUGUAUCAACCCUUCACAAUGAAUUUAAGACAAUCUUAGGACCCUCUAACCCAGGCCUAUCAUUUUUAUUUGUUUCAUUAUUUAGCUUCAUUCUUUUUAAUAACUCUUUAGGCCUCCUUCCUUAUAUCUUUACCAGAUCCAGACAUCUGGCAAUAACUCUAACCUUAGCUCUACCUUUAUGGCUAACCUUUAUUUUGUUUGGAUGGUUAAACCACACCCAGCACAUGUUUGCCCACUUAGUGCCUCAAGGGACCCCAAAUACGCUUAUACCUUUUAUAGUCCUCAUCGAAACUAUUAGGAAUAUUAUUCGACCAGGCACAUUGGCCAUCCGACUUGCAGCAAACAUAAUUGCAGGUCACCUCCUCCUUACUUUACUUGGAAGGAUAGGGUCCUCUUUAUCCCCUAAGCUAUUAAUUUUUCUCAUUCUGGCCCAAAUUCUUCUCCUUAUACUAGAAUCUGCUGUUGCAAUCAUCCAAUCCUAUGUAUUUGCAGUUCUCAGAACUCUUUAUGCCAGUGAAGUAAAUUAAUGUCAUCACAUAGCCACCAUGCCUUUCAUUUAGUUGACAUAAGACCUUGACCCUUAACCGGAUCAAUUAGAGCUAUGCUUUUAACAUCAGGGCUCAUCAAAUGAUUUCAUCAAUUUAAUCCAGACCUCCUCUUUUUCAGAUUUAUUCCUAUCUUUUUAACUAUAAUUCAAUGGUGACGAGAUGUAACUCGAGAGGGAACAUAUCAAGGACUUCAUACCCAAGCCGUCACAAAAGGCCUCCGGUGGGGAAUAAUUUUAUUUAUCGUCUCUGAAGUACUAUUUUUCUUCUCAUUUUUUUGGGCAUUCUUUCAUAGAAGUCUUGCACCUACAAUUGAAAUCGGAAUAUUUUGACCACCUAGAGGUAUUCAACCUUUCAAUCCUUUCCAAGUUCCCCUUCUUAAUACAACUAUUCUACUUUCAUCGGGAGCAACAGUAACUUGAACACAUCACGCAAUCCUUAACUCACACCAUUACGAAGCUAUACAAAGUCUAGGAUUAACCAUCCUCCUCGGAGUUUACUUCACCUCCCUUCAAGCAUAUGAAUAUUUAGAAGCAUCUUUCUCCAUCGCAGACUCAGUCUACGGGACUACCUUCUUUGUAGCAACUGGAUUCCACGGUCUUCAUGUGAUCAUUGGGACUUCAUUCCUAACAGUCUGUUUUUAUCGCCUAUUCAAAUGUCACUUCUCUAACAACCACCACUUUGGAUUUGAAGCCGCAGCUUGGUAUUGACAUUUCGUUGAUGUAGUUUGAUUAUUCCUUUAUGUUUUUAUUUACUGAUGAGGGAGAUAA